AUUUUCAUACGUUACAGUCUAUACUUUAUUAUUUACAAUACAGUGAAUCAAAAGUUUGAAUUAAAAAAUACAAUAUAUUUUAACAUUUUAUUAAUCAUACCGCUAGAAUUUUGAAUUUUCCUACUUUUACAACAAACAAUAUCAUUUUUCCACUUAUCAUGCCCAAGCCCAAGUUGUUGAUGUUACGUGACAAUUUCUCCAAAUCUGCCAUGGAUAUGCUAAGUCAAAGAUUUUAUAUAGAAGUAUGCAAAACCAGCUAUGUGAAAAACGUCCCCACUACUCAAGACGUCAUCGAUUGUAUUCCAGGAUCGUUCGGGUUAUUUUGUUAUUCAGCGGUUAAAAUCACAGAAGAAGUUUUUAAAGCUGCCGGGCCCAAUUUCAAAGUCAUUGGAACAAUGUCUGUAGGAUACGACCACGUAGAUUUGUCGUUAUUGAAAAAGUAUAAAGUCCGUUUAGGUAAUACGCCCGAAGUUGUAACCGAAGCAGUGGCAGAAUUAGCCGUUGGUUUGUUAAUUGCCACAACAAGGAGAUUUUACGAAGUAAAACGAGAGGUCAAAAAUGGUGGUUGGAAAUCAUGGAGCCCCAAUUGGUUUUUAGGCUCAGGAUUAGCAGGAUCCACUGUGGGAAUUAUCGGUUACGGUAACAUAGGAGCUUCCGUUGCUGAAAAACUAAGUUGUUUUAAAAUUUCCGAACUACUUUAUUAUAGUCGGAGUGAAAAACCCGCGGCGAAAUCUCUUGGUGGAAAAUUAGUGUCUGUCGACGAAUUAGUCAAACUCAGCGAUUACAUAAUAAUUACAAUUGCUUUGAACAAAGAUACGGAAUUCAUUAUGAAUAGAGACCGGAUUUUCAGUAUGAAACCUACCGCUUUGUUGGUGAACGUCGGACGAGGAAAGCUCGUCGACCAAGAUGCUCUGACCGAAGCUCUACAACGGAAAUUUAUCAGAGGAGCCGGCUUAGACGUCAUGACACCUGAACCCUUGCCCCUUGACAACCCAUUAAUGAAGCUCGAUAAUUGUUUAUUAUUGCCACACGUCGGCAGUUCUACUGUCGAGACGGAAGCUUCAAUGGCUAUAUUGACGGCGAAAAAUAUUUUGGCCGUUUUAGACAAUACUCCUAUGCCUAAUGAAGUGAAAUCCUAAUCGAUGUUUUUAAAUUAAUAUUACAUUAUAUAUUAACCAGUGAUACUUGCAAAAGAGCGUGUAAGAAACAAGUUGCCUACACGGAUUUAUUUUUGGAAGAGGGAAAAAGAAGUAUGGUGUCACAAAAAACAUUACAAAAAUAUAAUAUAAGUAUUACAUAGCUAUGCGGUAACCCACAUGGCAGUUUAGUUUCUUAGCUUCAAUUCGGAGGCAAAAAAAAUCGUAAUUUACAAUAAUAUUAAAUUUUUUUAAAUGUAUUUUUUGUUUCGUACUAUGAUAACUUUUCAACCGAUGAAUCGAUUUCUUUAUUAUAUAUUAUACAUAUUAUACUAACUUUAUACGUAAUAUGACUGUUAGUACUACAGCUUACCCAUUUAAUUUAUAGUAACCUAUUCAAAUAAGAAAUCCCUAAAAUGUCUGACCUCUAGCUCAACGCCAUGUACGCCACGGAUUACGUGAAUAUGUUUA